GAUAGAACGCUGGGCGGCGUGCUUAAUACAUGCAAGUCGAACGAAGGUUGUAGCAAUACAUCCUUAGUGGCGAACGGGUGAGUAACGCGGUUGGUGACCUGCCCCGAAGUGCGGGAUAACAGUCCGAAAGGAUUGCUAAUACCGCAUGGUUUCAUUUGGAUUAGAUGCCAGAUGAGCAAGGCGAAAGUCGCUUCGGGAGGGGCUUGCGUCCCAUCAGCUAGUUGGUAGGGUAAUGGCCUACCAAGGCAAUGACGGGUAGGGGACCUGAGAGGGUCGGCCCCCCACAAUGGAACUGAAACACGGUCCAUACACCUACGGGUGGCAGCAGUAGGGAAUAUUAGAAAUGGACGAAAGUCUGAUCUAGCAACACCGCGUGUGCGAAGAAGGCCUUCGGGUCGUAAAGCACUUUUUGGAAGGAAUAGGAAGGAAUGUACUUCCAGAAUAAGUCUCGGCUAACUACGUG
rnacentral:rRNA from 1 species